rnacentral:rRNA from 1 species
AUACGUAGGGUGCGAGCGUUGUCCGGAAUUACUGGGCGUAAAGAGCUCGUAGGUGGUUUGUCGCGUCGUCUGUGAAAUUCCGGGGCUUAACUCCGGGCGUGCAGGCGAUACGGGCAUAACUUGAGUACUGUAGGGGAGACUGGAAUUCCUGGUGUAGCGGUGAAAUGCGCAGAUAUCAGGAGGAACACCGGUGGCGAGGGCGGGUCUCUGGGCAGUAACUGACGCUGAGGAGCGAAAGCAUGGGUAGCGAACAGGAUUAGAUACCCUGGUAGUCCAUGCCGUAAACGGUGGGCGCUAGGUGUAGGGGUCUUCCACGACUUCUGUGCCGUAGCUAACGCAUUAAGCGCCCCGCCUGGGGAGUACGGCCGCAAGGCUAAAACUCAAAGGAAUUGACGGGG